GACGAACGCUGGCGGCGUGCUUAACACAUGCAAGUCGAACGGAAAGGCCCUGCUUUUGUGGGGUGCUCGAGUGGCGAACGGGUGAGUAACACGUGAGUAACCUGCCCUUGACUUUGGGAUAACUUCAGGAAACUGGGGCUAAUACCGGAUAGGAGCUCCUGCUGCAUGGUGGGGGUUGGAAAGUUUCGGCGGUUGGGGAUGGACUCGCGGCUUAUCAGCUUGUUGGUGGGGUAGUGGCUUACCAAGGCUUUGACGGGUAGCCGGCCUGAGAGGGUGACCGGCCACAUUGGGACUGAGAUACGGCCCAGACUCCUACGGGAGGCAGCAGUGGGGAAUAUGGCACAAUGGGCGGAAGCCUGAUGCAGCAACGCCGCGUGCGGGAUGACGGCCUUCGGGUUGUAAACCGCUUUCGCCUGUGACGAAGCGUGGGUGACGGUAAUGGGUAAAGAAGCACCGGCUAACUACGU
rnacentral:rRNA from 1 species